rnacentral:piRNA from 1 species
UUUAAGUUCACUGGAGGUUGCCU